CCGUCUCAGUUCGGAUUGCAGGCUGCAACUCGCCUGCAUGAAGCUGGAAUUGCUAGUAAUCGCGGAUCAGCAUGCCGCGGUGAAUACGUUCCCGGGCCUUGUACACACCGCCCGUCACACCAUGAGAGUCGGGAACACCCGAAGUCCGUAGUCUAACCGCAAGGAGGGCGCGGCCGAAGGUGGGUCCGGUAAUUGGGGUGAAGUCGUAACAAGGUACC
rnacentral:rRNA from 1 species